rnacentral:sRNA from 1 species
AUCACAUUAUAAGAAUUGAUGAGAUUGGAAGGUAGUCCUCUUUAUCCCCCUAUAGUAAGUGGCUGUCAGUUCUGUGUCAUAUGAAUUAAAUUUGUGGGGGCUUACAGAAUCAGAAGAUAUAUGCAGUUUUCAGAUAACUAUUAUCGUGCAGAAAUGAUUGAUGCCCUGGCCAACUCUGUUACACCUGCAGUCAGUGUGAAUAAUGAAGUUAGAACUUUGGAUAACUUAAAUCCUGAUGUGCGACUCAUUCUUGAAGAAAUCACCAGAUUUUUGAAUAUGGAAAAACUUCUUCCGAGUUACAGGCAUACCAUCACUGUCAGUUGUUUGAGAGCCAUACGGGUACUUCAGAAGAACGGACAUGUACCAAGUGAUCCAGCUCUUUUUAAAUCUUAUGCUGAAUAUGGCCACUUUGUGGACAUUAGGAUAGCAGCUUUGGAAGCAGUUGUUGAUUAUACUAAAGUGGACAGAAGUUAUGAAGAACUGCAAUGGCUACUUAAUAUGAUUCAGAAUGACCCUGUACCCUAUGUAAGGCAUAAGAUUCUCAACAUGUUGACUAAGAACCCACCAUUUACUAAGAACAUGGAGUCUCCCUUAUGCAAUGAAGCCCUGGUAGAUCAACUUUGGAAACUUAUGAAUUCUGGUACUUCACAUGACUGGAGGUUACGGUGUGGUGCUGUGGACUUGUACUUCACACUUUUUGGCCUCAGCA